GAGCAUGGGCUUAAUUUGACUCAACGCGGGAAAUCUUACCGGGUCCGGACACACUGAGGAUUGACAGGUAUUAUUGCGUAUGAAUUUAUUCAUCACGCAUGUUAAAUAUGCUAGUCCUUUCAUGAUUAUGUGAUAGGUGGUGCAUGGCCGUUCUUAGUUCGUGGAGUGAUCUGUCUGCUUAAUUGCGUUUCACUAAAGGCCCAUAUAUAACGUAUGUUGCGGCGCUUUGACCCCUCAUUAAUUUGAGCGCGUGUCUUUGUCUUUGCUUAGCUCAUACAUUUGGGCCUUGAAAGCAACGAACGUGACCGCAACCUCUUGUUGCCUUUAUACCAAAUGCGUCAAUAAAUUUUUAUUUAUCUGUCGCACAAAAAGGCCUUUUAAACUAGAGGGACCGCUGUUACUUUCUUAAACCAGAGGAAGGUUGCGGCAAUAACAGGUCUGUGAUGCCCUUAGAUGUUCCGGGCUGCACACGUGCUACAAUGAUUAUUGCAGUGAGCAUCUCAUUUUAUUACACACCGCAUGCGCGAGUCCAUUUAUUUCACUUCGGUGCUUAUAAAUGUGUAUCUCUGCGCGCGGUAAAGCCUGCUUCGAAAGUAAGUGGGUAAUCAAUUAGAAGUAAUGAUUUCCUUUUUUUAUUCGCACACAUAUAUGCGGCAUCUUUACCCGGCCUGCCUUGUUGCAGUGUCUCUGUGUGUAUUGAUGUUUUUUUCCGCAUGUGCAAUUGUCAAUUCAUGGUGGGGACAGACCAUUGUUAAUUGUUGGUCUCGGUCUUAACUAGGAAUGCCUUGUACGGGUCUUUGGUUCAACAAACCACCCGGAAUACGUCCCUGCCCUUUGUACACACCGCCCGUCGCUCUUACCGAUGGACUUCUCUGUGAGUUUGAGGGACUGGAUACCUCAUUUCUAUGGAAACUUAAACGAACAGUGUGGUCUAAAGAAAGAG
rnacentral:rRNA from 1 species